rnacentral:sRNA from 1 species
GAUUCUUGAACGAAAGGAAUGAGGAUGGCCGAUGAAGUAAUCUUAUUUUUUACACGCGAAGUGAAAGAAACUUUGUAUAAAAAAUAGGAUUAGUCUGUCCACAUUCCAUUUAUUUUAUAAAAAUAACCCGUUUUUUCGGUAUGUUUUUUAGACUAAUCCUUCCAAAAAUUUUUGGAGGGAUUUUUUA